rnacentral:rRNA from 1 species
AGAGUUUGAUCCUGGCUCAGAACGAACGCUGGCGGCGUGGAUUAGGCAUGCAAGUCGAGCGAGAACCUCUUCGGAGGGGACAGCGGCGAAAGGGUGAGUAAUAAAUAGUCAACCUACCCUCCAGGUCGGGAUAACGUCGGGAAACUGGCGCUAAUACCGGAUGGUCAGCAAGAAUCGCAUGGUUUUUGUUGUAAAGAUUGCCUCUCAGCGAAGCUGUCGCUGGAGGAGGGGACUAUUUUCUAUUAGCUUGUUGGUGGGGUAACGGCCUACCAAGGCAGUGAUGGAUAGCCGACCUUAGCGGGUGACCGGCCACACUGGGACUGAGACACUGCCCAGACUCUUACGGGAGGCUGCAGUCGAGAAUCUUCCGCAAUGGGCGAAAGCCUGACGGAGCGACGCCGCGUGUAGGAUUGAAGGCCCUUGGGUUGUAAACUACUGUCACAGGUUAAGAAACGCCAGAAGGUUAAGAGCUAUUUGGUUUGACAAAGGCCUGAGAGGAAGCCACGGCUAACUUCGUGCCAGCAGCCGCGGUAAGACGAAGGUGGCAAGCGUUGUUCGGAAUCACUGGGCAUAAAGCGCGCGUAGGCGGUCCGCUAAGUUGGAUGUGAAAGCCCCCGGCCCAACCGGGGAAUUGCGUUCAAUACUGGUGGACUUGAGAGUCGGAGAGGUAUGUGGAAUUCCUGGUGGAGCGGUGAAAUGCGUUGAUAUCAGGAGGAACACCGGAGGCGAAGGCGACAUACUGGCCGACUUCUGACGCUGAGGUGCGAAAGCAUGGGGAGCAAACGGGAUUAGAUACCCCGGUAGUCCAUGCCGUAAACGAUGAAUACUAGGUGGGGGGACACCUAACGUCUCCCUGCUGCCGCUAAUGCAUUAAGUAUUCCGCCUGGGGAGUAUGGUCGCAAGGCUGAAACUCAAAGGAAUCGACGGGGGCUCACACAAGCGGUGGAGCAUGUUGAUUAAUUCGAAGCAACGCGCAGAACCUUACCCAGACUUGACAUGUAUGUGGUAGUGAACCGAAAGGGAAUCCACCUCCUUCUGGAGGAGCAUACACAGGUGUUGCAUGGCUGUCGUCAGCUCGUGUCGUGAGAUGUUAGGUUAAGUCCUAUAACGAGCGAAACCCCUAUUGUUAGUUGCCAGCGCGUAAAGGCGGGGACUUUAGCAAGACUGCCGAUGUUAAAUCGGAGGAAGGUGGGGAUGACGUCAAGUCCUCAUGGCCCUUACGUCUGGGGCUUCAAACGUGCCACAAUGGGUAGUACAAAGGGACGCAAGCCCGCGAGGUCAAGCAAAUCCCAAAAAGCUACUCUCAGUUCGGAUUGUAGGCUGCAACUCGCCUGCAUGAAGCUGGAAUCGCUAGUAAUCGGAGAUCAGCUACGCUCCGGUGAAUAUGUUCCUGAGCCUUGUACACACCGCCCGUCAAGCCACGAGAGCUGGUAGUACCCGAAGUCGUUGACCCAACCUAUGGAGGGAGACGCCGACGGUAAGACCGGUGAUUGGGACUAAGUCGUAACAAGGUAACC